GAUGAACGCUGGCGGCGUGCUUAACACAUGCAAGUCGAACGAAGCACUUUAGUUGAUUUCUUCGGAUUGAUUCUAAAGUGACUUAGUGGCGGAUGGGUGAGUAACGCGUGGGUAACCUGCCUCGUACAGGGGGAUAACACUUAGAAAUAGGUGCUAAUACCGCAUAAGCGCACAGUGUCGCAUGACACAGUGUGAAAAGCCUCGACGGUAUACGAUGGACCCGCGUCUGAUUAGCUAGUUGGUGAGGUAGAGGCUCACCAAGGCGACGAUCAGUAGCCGGCCUGAGAGGGUGACCGGCCACAUUGGGACUGAGACACGGCCCAAACUCCUACGGAGGCAGCAGUGGGGGAAUAUUGCACAAUGGGGGAAACCCUGAUGCAGCGACGCCGCGUGAGUGAAGAAGUAUUUCGGUAUGUAAAGCUCUAUCAGCAGGGAAGAAAAUGACGGUACCUGACUAAGAAGCCCCCGGCUAACUACCGUGCCAGCAG
rnacentral:rRNA from 1 species